rnacentral:rRNA from 1 species
GACGAACGCUGGCGGCGUGCCUAACACAUGCAAGUCGAACGGAAAGGCCCUGCUCUUGUGGGGUGCUCGAGUGGCGAACGGGUGAGUAACACGUGAGUAACCUGCCCUUGACUUUGGGAUAUCAUCAGGAAACUGGGGCUAAUACCGGAGAGGAGCUCCUGCUGCAUGGUGGGGGAUGGAAAGUUUCGGCUGUUGGGGAUGGACUGGCGGCUUAUCAGCUUCUUGGUGGGGUAGUGGCUUACCAAGGUUAUGACGGCUAGGCGGCCUGGGAGGGUGACCAGCCACAUUGGGCCUGCGAUAGGGACCAGACUCCUACGGGCGGCAGCAGUGGAGAAUAUUGCGCAAUGGGCGGAAGCCUGAGACAGCAGCGCCGCGUGCGGGAUGACGGGCUUCGGGUUGUAAACCGCUUUCGCCUGUGACGAAGCGUGAGUGACGGUAAUGGGUAAAGAAGCACCGGCUAACUACGUG